UAUCAGCUUGUUGGUGAGGUAACGGCUCACCAAGGCGACGACGGGUAGCCGGCCUGAGAGGGCGACCGGCCACACUGGGACUGAGACACGGCCCAGACUCCUACGGGAGGCAGCAGUGGGGAAUAUUGCACAAUGGGCGAAAGCCUGAUGCAGCGACGCCGCGUGAGGGAUGACGGCCUUCGGGUUGUAAACCUCUUUCAGCAGGGAAGAAGCGAAAGUGACGGUACCUGCAGAAGAAGCACCGGCUAACUACGUGCCAGCAGCCGCGGUAAUACGUAGGGUGCGAGCGUUGUCCGGAAUUAUUGGGCGGAAAGAGCUUGUAGGCGGUUUGUCGCGUCUGCUGUGAAAAUCCGGGGCUCAACCCCGGACUUGCAGUGGGUACGGGCAGACUAGAGUAUGGUAGGGGAGACUGGAAUUCCUGGUGUAGCGGUGAAAUGCGCAGAUAUCAGGAGGAACACCGAUGGCGAAGGCAGGUCUCUGGGCCACUACUGACGCUGAGAAGCGAAAGCAUGGGGAGCGAACAGGAUUAGAUACCCUGGUAGUCCAUGCCGUAAACGUUGGGCGCUAGGUGUGGGACUCAUUCC
rnacentral:rRNA from 1 species